rnacentral:rRNA from 1 species
AGAGUUUGAUCAUGGCUCAGAACGAACGCUGGCGGCAGGCUUAACACAUGCAAGUCGAACGCGUGUAGCAAUACACGAGUGGCGCACGGGUGAGUAACGCGUGGAUAUCUGCCUUUUGGUUCGGAAUAACCCCGGGAAACUGGGGCUAAUACCGGAUGGUUCCUUCGGGAUAAAGAUUUAUCGCCAAAAGAUGAGUCCGCGUACGAUUAGCUAGUUGGUGAGGUAAUGGCUCACCAAGGCGACGAUCGUUAGCUGGUCUGAGAGGACGAUCAGCCACACUGGGACUGAGACACGGCCCAGACUCCUACGGGAGGCAGCAGUGGGGAAUAUUGGACAAUGGGGGCAACCCUGAUCCAGCCAUGCCGCGUGAGUGAUGAAGGCCUUCGGGUUGUAAAGCUCUUUUGGCGGGGACGAUGAUGACGGUACCCGCAGAAUAAGCCCCGGCUAACUUCGUGCCAGCAGCCGCGGUAAGACGAAGGGGGCUAGCGUUGUUCGGAAUUACUGGGCGUAAAGCGAGUGUAGGUGGUUGCCAUAGUCAGGUGUGAAAGCCUUGAGCUCAACUCAAGAAAUGCACUUGAUACUGGGCGACUAGAGGACCGGAGAGGAUAGUGGAAUUCCCAGUGUAGUGGUGAAAUACGUAGAGAUUGGGAAGAACACCAGUGGCGAAGGCGGCUAUCUGGACGGUUUCUGACACUAAGAC